AGUGAACGCUGGCGGCAGGCUUAACACAUGCAAGUCGAGCGGACCUUUCGGGGCCAGCGGCGGACGGGUGAGUAACGCGUGGGAACGUGCCCUCCGGUUCGGAAUAACCCUGGGAAACUAGGGCUAAUACCGGAUACGCCCUUAUGGGGAAAGGUUUACUGCCGGAAGAUCGGCCCGCGUCUGAUUAGCUAGUUGGUGGGGUAACGGCCUACCAAGGCGACGAUCAGUAGCUGGUCUGAGAGGAUGAUCAGCCACACUGGGACUGAGACACGGCCCAGACUCCUACGGGAGGCAGCAGUGGGGAAUAUUGGACAAUGGGCGCAAGCCUGAUCCAGCCAUGCCGCGUGAGUGAUGAAGGCCUUAGGGUUGUAAAGCUCUUUUAUCCGGGACGAUAAUGACGGUACCGGAGGAAUAAGCCCCGGCUAACUUCGUG
rnacentral:rRNA from 1 species